rnacentral:rRNA from 1 species
GACGUAGGGCGCGAGCGUUGUCCGGAUUUAUUGGGCGUAAAGAGCUCGUAGGCGGCUUGUUGCGUCGGCUGUGAAAUCCCGUGGCUUAACUGCGGGCUUGCAGCUGAUACUGGCGGGCUGGAGUUCGGUAGGGGAGAGUGGAAUUCCUGGUGUAGCGGUGAAAUGCGCAGAUAUCAGGAGGAACACCGGUGGCGAAGGCGGGUCUCUGGGCCGAUACUGACGCUGAGGAGCGAAAGCGUGGGGAGCGAACAGG